UGUGAGGUGGUCGAGUAUAAGUCGGUAGAUUGUAAAUCUAUGUAUAAGUUUUGAACUUUCUCAUAA
rnacentral:tRNA from 1 species